CCGGACCAGGCCCGCUCCCAAAAGCUCCCCUUCCGGAGCGAUCCUUUAAAGGACUCGGAAUGACGAUCAGAAGGCCCAAUGAGAGGCCUACCAGACUACCAGGAGAAUGCUGAAGAGAGCAUUCGCCUACAUCUUAGCGAAGGGUCAUUCAAAGUCUCUCAGCUGUUACUGCAGAGAAGAUGGAGAGAUGUGACUGGCUGGUGGGCUAAAGCCAAAGCGUGGCAAUCAGGGUUCAGUGCCAGCUUGGAGAAAGGUCUCUCGAGGCUCCUGGGACCUGGGCCAGUCCCUAUCCUGUCAAACAUUGUGAUCAAUGAUUUGGUUAACAUGCCUAGCCUGGCACCGUUGGCAUGCUUGCUAACCAUGUGUGGGAGGGAAAGUUAGCCCACUGGAUGAGUCCAUAUCUGGUGAGAAGGCAAAGCAGAAUCUGUUCAGAUGAAAUGUAAAAGGAAUCGAUGUAAAUUCUGGUGCUUUGGUUAAAAAUAAAACUUCGCCAGAAGGAGGAGGCAUGCCUAGA